rnacentral:lncRNA from 1 species
UUAAAUGGCGUCGUUUUGGCGUUUCUUCUUUAAACAGUUUUUCUUUUUCUUUUUUUACAUUUGCAGCAUAAGGAAAUAGAAAAAAAAAAAUCAAAAACUAUGCUAGGGUUUCGCCCUAAUUUCUGACUGCUGCCGCUUCUGCUCCAUCCGACUCCGAUUUAGAGGGAAUAAACGGGGCUACGACGGCGCUGUUACGCAGGUAAGACUCUUUUUCUUUCCUUUUCCGUCAACAAUCCAAAAAUAAAUCGAAAGAAACAAAAAGAAAGGAAAAGAAAAAAAACUGGAAAUCACCUUUCCAAAAAAAUCACUGCUCUCUGUUCUUUUUUGCAACUUUUCUAUUGAUUAUGUGCGUAAAAAAAAUACAAAGGUUUUUUUGGUUCUUAUAUUAUCAUUUGACAAAGAACCCGAAAAAAAAUCGAAUAAAAAAAAUCCCAUUGGUUUGCUCUUUGCUGCGUUGUUUUCAUCCCAUUUGCAGGUACGGUGUACGGGGGCGAGGGACGUGGCGCGUACGGAGGCGAAGGCGUGCCCGUACGGAGGCUCGUCAUGUGUAGAGGGCUUGGCUGCGGCGCCUGGUAUCUCAGAAACCCUAGGGUUUCUGUUUGUGACUUUUUGUUUUGGGCUUGGGUUUGUAACGGGUUUGGGUUUAGUUAGUAUUUCGGGUUAGGGUAGAGUUGGGUUAUUUGGGUUUUAAAUGGAUUAACAGCUUUGUAAAUGGACUGUUUUUAUUGGGCUCUUUAUUUAUUUCUGAUUUGGGCCGGGCAAAUUUAGGCCAUUACAGAGUGUUUGUUUUUUUUUUCCCUAAAUUGUAAUGAAUUUAUCUUUAAAAAAAUAGUAAGAAAAAGAAAAAUUGGUUUUAGAUAUCUGACUGCAUCCACUAAUUGAACUAUGAACUUGAUUAGUUUGGACGUUUUAAUCGUAUAAGUUAAAUUACAAAAAAAAAAAAGAGAAAUGACCAAAAAUAAUAAAAAUAAAAAAUCGAGAUUUAGAUAAAUCAG